rnacentral:lncRNA from 1 species
UUCUCGAACGAUUUCCUGCAAUUCCUCCCAGUAUGGAAUGAGUAAAGAAUCAAGCUACAAGUCUCGAUCUAUACGAAACGCACUUGUUUUUUUGAUUUCGGUUUCAUUGAUAGCAGAAUAUCCUGACUCUAUAGGGGCGCUAGCGCUUGACUAAUAGAAUCUCAAAGGGGCCUGAAUGAAACUUAACUUAAUAGGCUGCUACUCUAGGCUCGCUUCUUCAAGCUCCGCCCCUUAUUGAAAACGGCCUAGCUAACGAG